UUUAUCUCACAUUUAUUGUAGGGAUGCAUUUCAUAUAGUUUCUUUAUAAUUUUAGAAAAGAUUAUUUAAAUAAACAGAGAGUUUUCACGAGCUCUGUCAUGAUUGGAUCGGUACAAAGUCUGCUGCUCUCGCGCUGUGCUCUCUCUCCCUCUCUCCUCUUUCUUUUAAGCGUUCAGCACAGCAAAAGAUACUGCGUGAAACAGCCAAAGAAGACAGACAAUACAGGGGGUGUUUUGUGGCUUAACCAAACCCCCGUGAAUUCACGCUGAUUUUCAGGGAUUCUUGCUCCAUUUCUAUCUCUCUCCCUCUCCCUCUUGCUUUCUCUCCAGCUCUACUGCCCAUAGAAUAAGGUCAGAGGAUGUCCAGGCCUCUGCAUAGGGGUGCACGGAUCUCUGGGAGCAACGGGAGCAACAAUGAUUUGUGGGACUCUCAAAUGAAAGAGAAAACAGAAAAGGAAGAGCUGGAUAGAAGAGGUUCUGAUCAGAGUUAUUUUGCCCUGAGGUUUCCUUUUCGGUUACUUCUCCCAGAUAAUUCUACUCCUAAAAAUGGUAUCGCAGAAAAUGGUUUUGCAUCUGAUUCAUUGCUCGUUGGAAGUCCGAGAAUUAGGCAGAGAAUAACAAUGCUGAUUUUAAAGCUCAGUCUAGUAUUGAUUGUAAUUCUUGCUCUCACUGGAUCCUUUUGGUGGGCGAUUUCUAUUUCUACAACAUCGAGAGGUCACAUAUUCCGUGGUUAUAGGCGACUCCAAGAACAACUUGUUUUAGACUUGUGGGAUAUUGGGGAGCUUUCUCUGGGUUCCUCAAGGUUGAAAGAGUUGGAAUUCUGUCCUCAGGACUUUGAAAAUCAUGUUCCUUGCUUCAAUGUUUCGGCAAAUCUUGCUUUGGGAUAUUCUGAUGGCAGUGAAUAUGACAGGGUCUGUGGGCACGAGCCGAGGCAAAACUGUUUGGCUCUUGCACCUCUUAAUUAUAAAAUUCCUCUUCGGUGGCCUACUGGAAGAGAUGUCAUCUGGUUUGCAAAUGUCAAAAUUACUGCACAGGAGGUAAUGUCUUCCGGAAGUUUGACCAAGAGGAUGAUGAUGUUGGAUGAAGAGCAGAUCUCCUUCCGUUCAGCCUCUCUCAUGUUUGAUGGCAUUGAAGAUUACUCCCAUCAAAUUGCAGAAAUGAUUGGGCUGAGAAAUGAAUCUAACUUCAUUCAUGCCGGGGUUAGAACCAUCCUGGAUAUAGGAUGUGGUUAUGGUAGCUUUGGAGCACAUCUUUUUUCCAAUGAGCUCUUAACCAUGUGCAUUGCAAACUAUGAGGCUUUGGGCAGUCAAGUUCAACUGACUCUCGAAAGGGGUCUUCCUGCAAUGAUUGCUUCUUUUUCUUCAAAACAGUUACCAUAUCCAUCUCUCUCUUUUGAUAUGUUGCAUUGUGCACGAUGCGGCAUUGAUUGGGACCAAAAAGAUGGCAUUUACCUGAUUGAAGUUGAUAGAGUGUUAAAACCUGGUGGAUACUUUGUCUGGACAUCGCCGCUUACCAAUUUUCAAGGAGUACUCCGAACCAAAGAGCGUAAAAAAAUGGGGAAUUUUUUUCGUGAUUUUGCAGAUAAACUGUGCUGGGAGAUGUUGUCACAGCAAGAUGAAACUAUCGUAUGGAAAAAGACUAGUAAAAGGAAUUGUUACAAUUCGCGGAAACCUGGCUCAGGCCCUUCUUUAUGUAGCAAAAACCAUGAUGUUGAAUCCCCAUAUUAUCAACCACUUCAAGCCUGCAUAGCGGGAGCACAGAGCCGCCGAUGGAUUCCUAUUGAGGAGAGGACAAGCUGGCCAUCAAGAGCUAACUUGAACAAGAGUGAACUUGCUCUCUAUGGUCUGCACCCGGAAGAAGUUGCUGAUGAUACUGACAACUGGAAAGCGGCAGUCCGUAAUUAUUGGUCCCUUCUGUCACCAUUAAUAUUCUCUGAUCAUCCAAAGAGACCUGGUGAUGAGGAUCCCUCGCCACCAUAUAACAUGCUUAGAAAUGUGCUGGACAUGAAUGCUAAUUUUGGUGGUUUCAAUUCAGCGUUAUUGGAAGCCAGGAAGUCCGUGUGGGUCAUGAAUGUGGUCCCUACAAAUGGACCCAACUACCUUCCCUUGAUCAUGGAUAGGGGCUUUGUUGGUGUAUUACAUGAUUGGUGUGAAUCCUUUCCAACAUAUCCGAGAACUUAUGACUUGGUCCAUGCGGCAGGACUUCUAUCCCUUGAAAUUGGUCAGCAGCGCAGGUGCACCACACUUGAUCUUUUCUCUGAGAUUGAUCGACUACUUCGUCCAGAGGGUUGGGUGAUUUUCCGUGACACAGCUCCCCUCAUUGAAUCAGCAAGAGCUCUUACGUCAAGGCUGAAGUGGGAUGCACGAGUUGUAGAAAUGGAAAGUAACAGUGACGAGAGACUUCUUAUUUGCCAGAAACCUUUCUUCAAGAGGCAAGCAAUCCAAUCAUGAGUUUCAGAGGGGGAAGAAGAAGCUACAUUCGAAGAAGUAUUCUGUAUUUAUUUUCUGGGUGUUGAUUAAUCAUCAUAGAGCUCCACCAUGAAAGGGGGAUUGAUAAUUUUUGAGCAGAAGAAUCAAGAAAACAGAGUGAUAGAGAAACACGAGAAUCUUUGUGGAAUCAACCACAACAACUAUGGAGCCGUAAGGCUUUCAUAGGGCCAUUAAUACAAUGGCAAGUGGCAACAAGACGAGAUGCAUUGCACGUGUAAUGACUAUGAAGAGUCCAAAUGAGGUGAGAUGCGUUGCGUUUCAUUGUUUUGGUUAACCAAUUGCGAGGUCUUACUUGCUCUUCCUCCUAAUUUUUUACAAAAGUAGGAUAGAAAACGCUAUUUCUCAAAGAAAGAACUCAAGAAGUCCGUCCAAAAUACACCAAUUAAAGCGGGCAUGUGUUGCUACACAUACGCCGACGAUGCCACAAGAUUCAAAGCAGAUAGAGCCGAGAGAAGUUUUCUUGCAUUUUAUUCAUAACCAUGGAGAUGGCGAGUCUGAGCUGGUUGUGACGGGCGGAAGGAGAGAGCUUUUUCCAUCUAUUCUGGCACGCACGGCAUGGGUCAGUUCGGCUGUUCGGGGCUUAAUUUGGGAGUGUCGUAAAAUUAGUAUAGGAAAAUUCUUUUUAUCAUCCUCACACUUCACACA